GUUGAGGUCCAUCCGAUGGGGUUUUUUUAAUAAACCUAUAUCAUUGGAAAUGCCUCAUAGAGUAACUGUAUGGUUUCCUUUACUGAUAGAACUACAUGUUAGAUCUGUGGGAAAGAACUACAAGACAGAG
ensembl:snoRNA